rnacentral:rRNA from 1 species
GACGAACGCUGGCGGCGUGCUUAACACAUGCAAGUCGAACGGCAAGGCCCUGCUUUUGUGGGGUGCUCGAGUGGCGAACGGGUGAGUAACACGUGAGUAACCUGCCCUUGACUUUGGGAUAACUUCAGGAAACUGGGGCUAAUACCGGAUAGGAGCUCCUGCUGCAUGGUGGGGGUUGGAAAGUUUCGGCGGUUGGGGAUGGACUCGCGGGUUAUCAGCUUGUUGGUGGGGUAGUGGCUUACCAAGGCUUUGACGGGUAGACGACCUGCGAGGGUGACCGGCCACAUUGGGACUGAGAGACGGCCCAGACUCGUACGGGAGGCAGCAGUGGGGAAUAUUGCACAAUGGGCGGGAGCCUGUUGCAGCGGCGCCGCGUGCGGGAUGACGGCCUUCGGGUUGUAAACCGCUUUCGCCUGUGACGAAGCGUGAGUGACGGUAAUGAGUAAAGAAGCACCGGCUAACUACGUG